rnacentral:lncRNA from 1 species
UAUAAAAUAAAUAAAAGCCACAAAGCCACGUUUAUUGACUCGCCAGGCGAGGAAACACGCACAAGUGAAGAAAUUCACUGAAUAGUCAGCCGAGGAGGGAGAGUCGGGGAUGUUUAAUCUUGGAGAGGGGCUCACAAUGAUUAAGGCUCGAAAACCAGCACUCCAGAAAUUAAUCUAAAGGUCUGUACCUGGUUGGUUCAAACAAAUCCAUCGUUCAUUGUUGAGGAAAGAGUCUUUAGUUGAGUCCAGUGGGGGUUUGGCGUUUGGGUCCACUUCAGCUGCUUAGAAUCAGUUAUGAUGAAACACAAUAUUUAAUUGUGAUAUCUCCUAGGGCAUGUGUUGCUAUAAGUGGAAAUUUUUCCUGUUUCAAUUCCCGCCUGCUCCUCCUCAAUGGAAGCUCCGUAUAUGACACGUAUGAGCAUAAGAAUGGUGUCAAACCUGCCCAGGAUACCAGAAAUUUCUGUGAAUUUGGAUGAUGAGGAUUAACCAGAGUGUUUCUCUUCACCCCACAACACCUGCUCCUGAAAAGGAAGCAUUUGUUCCUUGCAUGCAAAUCAUUUUGUAUUAAAGAGGCAUCUAAUGAGCAUCGGAUGAAAGUCCCCUGGAGCAGCUUCAACAGUAGAAGAAAAACAAAGGAGAAAACAGCUCAAAUUAGUGCUGAAUGGAUCAACCUACAUUUUCUUGCACC